GAACGCUGGCGGCAUGCCUUACACAUGCAAGUCGAACGGCAGCACGGGUGCUUGCACCUGGUGGCGAGUGGCGAACGGGUGAGUAAUAUAUCGGAACGUACCUUAUCGUGGGGGAUAACGCAGCGAAAGCUGCGCUAAUACCGCAUACGCCCUGAGGGGGAAAGGCGGGGGACCGUAAGGCCUCGCGCGAUUAGAGCGGCCGAUAUCUGAUUAGCUUGUUGGUGGGGUAAAAGCCUACCAAGGCGACGAUCAGUAGCUGGUCUGAGAGGACGAUCAGCCACACUGGGACUGAGACACGGCCCAGACUCCUACGGGAGGCAGCAGUGGGGAAUCUUAGACAAUGGGGGAAACCCUGAUCUAGCCAUGCCGCGUGAUCGAUGAAGGCCUUAGGGUUGUAAAGAUCUUUCGCAAGGGAAGAAACGUUACGAGCGAAUAACUCGUGAUAAUGACGGUACCUUGAUAAGAAGCACCGGCUAACUACGUG
rnacentral:rRNA from 1 species